rnacentral:rRNA from 1 species
GCCAGCAGCCAUAUCACCCUGUAACUCACAACUGGCAGCCCACUGAAGCUAAGCAGGUGUGAGCCUGGUCAGUACCUGGAUGGGAGACCUCCUGGGAAAAAACUAAGGUUGCUGCUAGAA